AGCGGCGGACGGGUGAGUAACGCGUGGGUAACCUGCCCUGUACACACGGAUAACAUACCGAAAGGUAUGCUAAUACGGGAUAACAUAAGAAAGUCGCAUGGCUUUCUUAUCAAAGCUUUUGCGGUACAGGAUGGACCCGCGUCUGAUUAGCUAGUUGGUAAGGUAACGGCUUACCAAGGCGACGAUCAGUAGCCGACCUGAGAGGGUGAUCGGCCACAUUGGAACUGAGACACGGUCCAAACUCCUACGGGAGGCAGCAGUGGGGAAUAUUGCACAAUGGGCGAAAGCCUGAUGCAGCAACGCCGCGUGAGCGAUGAAGGCCUUCGGGUCGUAAAGCUCUGUCCUCAAGGAAGAUAAUGACGGUACUUGAGGAGGAAGCCCCGGCUAACUACGUGCCAGCAGCCGCGGUAAUACGUAGGGGGCUAGCGUUAUCCGGAAUUACUGGGCGUAAAGGGUGCGUAGGCGGUCUUUCAAGUCAGAAGUGAAAGGCUACGGCUCAACCGUAGUAAGCUUUUGAAACUGUAAGACUUGAGUGCAGGAGAGGAGAGUGGAUUCCUAGUGUAGCGGUGAAAUGCGUAGAUAUUAGGAGGACACCAGUUGCGAAGGCGGCUCUCUGGACUGUAAC
rnacentral:rRNA from 1 species